rnacentral:rRNA from 1 species
UUACGAGGUCAGGACACUGUGAGGAUUGACAGAUUGAAAGCUCUUUCUUGAUUCAGUGGGUGGUGGUGCAUGGCCGUUCUUAGUUGGUGGAGUGAUUUGUCUGGUUAAUUCCGUUAACGAACGAGACCUUAACCUGCUAAAUAGUCACGCGAACCGGUCCGCAAGGGCUCAAAGUUCGCGGCUCGACUUCUUAGAGGGACUAUUCGCACCUGCCAGCGAAUGGAAGUUUGAGGCAAUAACAGGUCUGUGAUGCCCUUAGAUGUUCUCGGCCGCACGCGCGUUACACUGACGGAGUCAACGAGCGUUUUUCCUUGCCCGACAGGGCUGGGUAACCUCCUGAAACUCCGUCGUGAUGGGGAUAGAUCAUUGCAAUUAUUGAUCUUGAACGAGGAAUUCCUAGUAGGCGCGAGUCAUCAACUCGCGCCGAUUACGUCCCUGCCCUUUGUACACACCGCCCGUCGCUCCUACCGAUUGAACGGUCCGGCGAGAACUCCGGAUGGUC